rnacentral:rRNA from 1 species
UACGGGGGGAGCAAGCGUUGUUCGGAUUCAUUGGGCGUAAAGGGUGCGUAGGUGGCGCCGUAAGUCGGGUGUGAAAUCUCGGAGCUUAACUCCGAAACUGCAUUCGAUACUGCCGUGCUUGAGGACUGGAGAGGAGACUGGAAUUUACGGUGUAGCGGUGAAAUGCGUAGAUAUCGUAAGGAAGACCAGUGGCGAAGGCGGGUCUCUGGACAGUUCCUGACGCUGAGGCACGAAGGCCAGGGGAGCAAACGGG